AUGGAGAAAGCACGCGCAGCCAUCCUCUUCCUGCUACUCCUCAUCGAUUUCGCUGCCGUAGCACGAAACGCCACGGGCGAAGAAGAUGGAUUCCACGUCGGGGUGAUCCUCGACCUGGGAUCGCCGGUGGGCAAAGUGGCGCGGACCAGCGUUCUGCUGGCCGUCCAAGAUUUCUACGCCGUCCACCGGAACUACAGCACGAAGCUUGUUCUCCAUAUUAGGGACUCCAUGGGCGAUGUCCAGGCUGCAUCAGCAGUCAAAGUUCAAAAGCAGACAAUAUUAUCUGACGAUCGUUUUCUUUCGUGUGCCCUUCUGAAAGCUAUCGAGUUACUGGAGAAAUACCAAGUGCAAGCCAUCAUUGGUCCCCAGAAAUCAUCAGAAGCUAUGUUCAUAUCCAGUCUUGGAAAUUUAACCGAAGUCCCCAUAGUAUCAUUCACAACAACAAGCCCCUCUCUCACUUCUGAUAGAAUGCCAUAUAUUGCACGAGAAACACCGGAUGACUCUGCUCAGGUGAAUAGCAUUGACUCACUUGUACAAGCCUAUGGAUGGAGAGAAGUGGUAGCAGUAUAUGAUGACACUGACUAUGGGAGAGGCAUUCUACCAUAUCUCAUUGAUGCACUUCAAGAAAUUGAUGUCCGCGUUGCGUAUAGCACUGUCAUCCCUUCAGCAGCAACACAUGUGACCAUUGUGCAAGAACUCAAUGGGUUUAUGGCAAUGCAAACAAGGGUGUUUAUUGUUCACAUAUCAUCCACUAUGACUUCCCUUCUUUUUACGAAGGCAAAAGAGGUAGAGAUGAUGAACAAGGGAUUUGUGUGGAUCACCACAAAUGGAGUGGGGAACAUCAUCGACUCAUUGAGUCCAAGUGUCAAUGAGGCAAUGAGUGGUGUGCUGGGAGUAAGGUAUCAUGUGCCCAGAUCACAAGAACUUGAUAACCUAUCCAUAACGUGGAACAGAAUGUACCAACAUGAUAAUCCAGGUGAAUCACCCUUUAAUAAACUAAGCAUUGUUGUACUAUGGGGCUAUGAUAUGAGAUGGUUAUUCGCAAACGCAGCGGAAAAGGUUGGGGUAUCCAAUGCUAGAGAUAAGCAACCAUGGUCCACUAAAAACUCCACAUGCUUGGAAUCCAUAGUUAUUUCCACCAACGGUCCUGAACUCUUAGCAGCAAUUGUACAAAACAAGUUCAAUGGUUUAAGUGGUGAACUUGACAUUACAAACAGACGAUGCCUCCAAGUUUCCAUGUUCCAAAUAAUAAAUGUGCUUGGGAGAGGUUGGAGAGAAAUGGGGUUUUGGAAUGCGAAAAGUGGACUUUCACGGCAGUUAAAGCGAGAUGACUUCAAAAAAGCAGGACCGGCCUCAAUGAUUGAUCUAAAUCCUGUAAUCUGGCCAAGAGACUCAACCAAAAUACCAAUGGGCUCGAAAAUUCCUAUAGUUGUUAAGAAGCUUAGAGUCGGUCUGCACUCAAGCGAAUAUCCGGAGUUUAUAAAGACAUACAAAGAUCCUAUCACAAAUAAAAUAACAAUAAGUGGCCUUUCAAUUGACAUAUUUGAGGAGGCAGGAAAGAAUCUUUCAUUUUCUUAUGACUACCUAGAAUCUGGCACAACUGAUACUUCAGUUACGGGGACCUACAAUGAUUUUGUUUACCAAGUCUAUCUUCAAGAAUACGACGUAGCGGUUGCAGAUACUACCGUAAGAUACAACAGGUCAUUGUAUGUCGACUUCACUGUGCCAUACACAGAAUCCGGAGUAGGGAUGAUUGUUCCGGUCAAGGAUUACAUGCUGAAGGAUUUGUGGCUUUUUUUGAAACCACUGAGCACUACAAUGUGGUUUGCCAGCAUCUUAUUCUUUAUGUACACAGGAGUUGUUGUCUGGCUGUUGGAGUAUCUAAAUGGCGAUGAACAUGCUCGUGAGGAGGAGUUGGAAAGCUUUGGAGCUAAAAUUGUUAUGCGUUUAUGGAAGAUUGUUGCUCUGGUACUUGCAGCGAGUUAUACAGCAAGCUUUGCAUCAAUGCUUUCUACACAACAGGUUUCACCAACAGUGAUUGAUGUGCACGAACUCCAAAAGAAUGGCAAAUAUGUAGGGUUCCACCAAGGUUCCUAUAUAGAGGGUCUACUGAUGGGUAUUGGUUUUGAUGCAUCAAAGAUCAGGGGCUAUGCUACACCUGAUGAUUUCUAUAGUGCUCUAUCAAAUGGAAGCAUUGCUGCGCUUGUACUUGAAGUCCCAUACAUCAAAUUGUUUCUUGCAAAGUACAGCCAAGGUUAUGCAAUGGUGGGGCCUAUUUACAAGAGCGCAGCUCUUGUCUACAACUCGCCUAUCUCUGUACUAGCUCUUGGUCUACAACUCGCCUAUCUCCAUGCUCGAGACGACCAAGCUCGAUGCGCAAGCCGCAUACGUCUGCUAGAGCUAUAUCCAGGCCCUAUGAUUUUUGGAUCACUGGCACUAUGGGUGCCAGGACCGGAGUCGCCCUCAUCCACCAAGUGGAUCAAGGAGGCCCACCACCUAGACUCUACAUCGCAACAUUUUGUGUUUUCCUAUAAAAAUCUCAACUUUCCUACACUUCAGUACCAGAAGGAUUUCUUGGUUUUAUUUAAUGACCUUCUUGAAUGUCAUUCACUUGGAAAGUUCAGUACGUACGAAGCUGUUGCUAAUUUCAAUGCCUGGCUGUUGCAAAUUUCUAAUGAAAAAGUACUUCAGGUCAAAGUUCGAAACAAUCAAGCACAUACCUUGCAAAGUGAUGUGGAUCUGAAGCAGAGGUGGGAAGGAUGGAUCUCCAUCGGAGGAGGCCGGAUCCGCUGGGGAGGAGGUCGCUGUAGUACCUGCCAUCUGUGCGAUGGAUCACAGGGCUGGCAGGCAGGGGGAGGGGAUAGGAGGGAGCGGGCACUUCCCAAGAAUUCUACGCAACGUGCUGACAUGUUGACGGCAAUACUCAACAUAACAGGAGGAGAUACUAUCAUUCAAUUUGGAAGUAAAUGGAUAGAUCAGAACAACCAUCAAAAUAACGGCGCACCUGAUGCUUUAGGUGCUAUCAGUUUCGAAAGUUGUGGGGGUUUAUUCCUCAUAACUGGAAUUGUGACAACCGGUUCCCUUCUUGUGGCCAUGCUGAUGAACCGCUACAAAAAGCAUCGACAGAAUGCAGGGGACAAAGGAGAUGACCAGAACGGAUGCGGACAUGGGCAAGAGAAUGAGAACAUGGAUGAACAAGGCGAUCAAAACAGCGAUGGAGAGGGAACUGAAUUGAUAGAGAGCCAAACAACACUGUCAGUGCCUCACGGUUCGAACGGAGAUGGUGACCAGCUUGCCAGGCAGUAG
rnacentral:rRNA from 1 species